rnacentral:rRNA from 1 species
UGGGGAAUUUUGGACAAUGGGCGAAAGCCUGAUCCAGCAAUGCCGCGUGUGUGAAGAAGGCCUUCGGGUUGUAAAGCACUUUUGUCCGGAAAGAAAUCCUUGGCUCUAAUACAGUCGGGGGAUGACGGUACCGGAAGAAUAAGCACCGGCUAACUACGUGCCAGCAGCCGCGGUAAUACGUAGGGUGCAAGCGUUAAUCGGAAUUACUGGGCGUAAAGCGUGCGCAGGCGGUUUGCUAAGACCGAUGUGAAAUCCCCGGGCUCAACCUGGGAACUGCAUUGGUGACUGGCAGGCUAGAGUAUGGCAGAGGGGGGUAGAAUUCCACGUGUAGCAGUGAAAUGCGUAGAGAUGUGGAGGAAUACCGAUGGCGAAGGCAGCCCCCUGGGCCAAUACUGACGCUCAUGCACGAAAGCGUGGGGAGCAAACAGGAUUAGAUACCCUGGUAGUCCAGCGCCCUAAACGAUGUCAACUAGUUGUUGGGGAUUCAAUUCCUUAGUAACGUAGCUAACGCGUGAAGUUGACCGCCU